rnacentral:rRNA from 1 species
UCCCAUCCCGAACUCAGCAGUGAAACGAUGCAUCGCCGAUGGUAGUGUGGGGUUUCCCCAUGUGAGAGUAGGUCAUCGUCAAGA